UGGGGAAUUUUGCGCAAUGGGGGAAACCCUGACGCAGCAACGCCGCGUGGAGGAUGAAGUAUCUCGGUACGUAAACUCCUUUCGAUGGGGAAGAUAAUGACGGUACCCAUAGAAGAAGCCCCGGCUAACUUCGUGCCAGCAGCCGCGGUAAUACGAGGGGGGCAAGCGUUGUUCGGAUUUAUUGGGCGUAAAGGGUGCGUAGGCGGUUUGGCAAGUCUUAUGUGAAAUCUAUGGGCUCAACCCAUAGUCUGCAUGAGAAACUACCGGGCUUGAGUGAUGGAGAGGUGAGUGGAAUUUCCGGUGUAGCGGUGAAAUGCGUAGAUAUCGGAAGGAACACCUGUGGCGAAAGCGGCUCACUGGACAUUAACUGACGCUGAUGCACGAAAGCUAGGGGAGCAAACA
rnacentral:rRNA from 1 species